GUAGGGUGGCAAGCGUUGUCCGGAAUUAUUGGGCGUAAAGCGCGCGCAGGCGGUCCUUUAAGUCUGACGUGAAAGCCCACGGCUCAACCGUGGAGGGUCAUUGGAAACUGGGGGACUUGAGUACAGAAGAGGAAAGCGGAAUUCCAAGUGUAGCGGUGAAAUGCGUAGAGAUUUGGAGGAACACCAGUGGCGAAGGCGGCUUUCUGGUCUGUAACUGACGCUGAGGCGCGAAAGCGUGGGGAGCAAACAGGAUUAGAUACCCUGGUAGUCCACGCCGUAAACGAUGAGUGCUAAGUGUUAGGGGGUUUCCGCCCCUUAGUGCUGCAGCUAACGCAUUAAGCACUCCGCCUGGGGAGUACGGCCGCAAGGCUG
rnacentral:rRNA from 1 species